GUUAUUUUUGCCCAAAAUAUUUAAUACAAAAAUUGUUGAAUCAAACAAGGAAACACAAAUUUUACAUGCAAUCAAAUACAAAAUGUGUCUAAUGUGAAUAUAAAGUCAAGAAUGUAGGAAUUCGACAUAUUUUGGGCAAAAAGAGGAAAAAAAGAGCAGGUUAAAUUCUACAUAUCUAUUCAGGAAAAAUUAGAACUGAUUAAAUAUCACAGUAAAAUCAUGUCCGUUGGGUUGUUAGCAGAAGAAUAUGGUGUUGGCAAACAAAUUGGAGGCGUUCAAUCAUAGAAAGAAGCUUCAGACAGCAGACAUUAUUUCAAGUCUUUGAAUAUCAAAAUAGCUUUGUGGACAGCUGCUGUCUCUUUGAACUAUGUAACACCACAAAUUUGAAGUAAUGUUAAGAACAACUUGCUGUCCCAGGAUAACAAAAAUGCAAAUUAUGAUGCUGUUAUACAAU